UUUUCGCCACAGAAGAGUUGCUUUUGUUAAGUCCUGAUAGAAUGUUAGAGCGGCCUCUUCAAAGUUUAUCGGAGGUUUUCCUUUGAUUGCUGACAUUAUUUGUAUUUUGUCGUGUGCUGUGAGGCAUCUGAGUAUGACGUCUUUUGGCAUUGUGGUGGCUGCGCUUGCUGGCCCAGGUAGGCAGUAUAUCCCCUCAAUUGACAGCUUUUUUGCCACUGCAUGUGGCAGGAUGGAGGCCAGUAAGCGCCUGACAUAGUGCGGUAGUUCGUCCGCGGAGACUGCCAUUGGGAUGCCCCUUAUUUUUAUAUUGGUGCGGCGGUGGCGGUCCUUUAUGGCCAUCAACUGUGCAGAUAUAGCUCUUUGUUGUGACCAGACCUGUUGAACAGAGUUCUGGAACUCUGACACGUGUGAUUGUAUGUCCGAGAUGUCUCUCUUGGAGGCCUGUACUCGGUCUGUAAUAGCUUUCAUAUCCGGUUUGAUAGGGGCCAGUUCCGUCGCCAGGAUUUUGUGAAAAUCUGCCAGUAAGACCUUCAGGUCGUGUCUUGUCGUCGGUGUGGAGUCGGUGUGGGCUGCAGGUGUCAUCGGUUGUGCAGCCAGCGGGUGUUCGGGCCCCAUUUGCUCAUUUGAGUAAGUGUGGAAGUCGGGUCGCAGGGUUUUAAUAAAC